UACGUAGGGCGCAAGCGUUGUCCGGAAUUAUUGGGCGUAAAGAGCUCGUAGGCGGCUUGUCACGUCUGCUGUGAAAUCCCGGGGCUCAACCCCGGGCGUGCAGUGGAUACGGGCUGGCUAGAGGCAGGCAGGGGAGAACGGAAUUCCCGUUGUAGCGGUGAAAUGCGCAGAUAUCGGGAGGAACACCGGUGGCGAAGGCGGUUCUCUGGGCCUGUACUGACGCUGAGGAGCGAAAGCGUGGGGAGCGAACAGG
rnacentral:rRNA from 1 species